rnacentral:rRNA from 1 species
GGAAUAUUGGACAAUGGGCGAAAGCCUGAUCCAGCAAUGCCGCGUGUGUGAAGAAGGCCUGCGGGUUGUAAAGCACUUUUAUCAGGAAAGAAAAUCACAGGGCUAAUAUCUCUGUGCCUUGACGGUACCUGAUGAAUAAGCACCGGCUAACUCCGUGCCAGCAGCCGCGGUAAUACGGAGGGUGCAAGCGUUAAUCGGAAUUACUGGGCGUAAAGCGCGCGUAGGUGGUUCGUUAAGUUGGAUGUGAAAGCCCCGGGCUCAACCUGGGAACUGCAUUCAAAACUGUCGAGCUAGAGUACGGUAGAGGGUGGUGGAAUUUCCUGUGUAGCGGUGAAAUGCGUAGAUAUAGGAAGGAACACCAGUGGCGAAGGCGACCACCUGGACUGAUACUGACACUGAGGUGCGAAAGCGUGGGGAGCAAAC